GAAAGUAAAAAAGGGCGUAUGGGGAAUGCCUAGGCUCUUGGAGGCGAAGAAAGACGUGGUAAGCUGCGAAAAGCCUCGGGGAUUUGCAAACAAGAUUUGAUCCGAGGAUCUCUGAAUGGGACAACCCGGCAGGUAGAAGACCUGUCAUCCGGCAACGGAAGCCAACCCUCUGAACUGAAACAUCUUAGUAGGAGGAGGAAAAGAAAGAAACAUCGAUUUCCUAAGUAGCGGCGAGCGAACGGGAAGCAGCCCAAACCGUAUCUGUUACGGCAGGUGCGGGGUUGUAGGACUGCAACAUUCAAGCAACGAUGAACUGGAACGGACUGGAAAGUUCGGCCAAAGAGGGUGAAAGCCCCGUACAGGUAAGUUAGUUGUGCGAUAGCAGUAUCCUGAGUAUGGCGGGACACGAGGAAUCCUGUCAGAAUUCGCCGGGACCACCCGGUAAGGCUAAAUACUCCCAAGAGACCGAUAGUGAACCAGUACCGUGAGGGAAAGGUGAAAAGUACCCCGAACAGGGGAGUGAAAUAGAACCUGAAACCAUACGCUUACAACCGGUCGGAGCGGCUUCGUGCCGUGACGGCGUGCCUAUUGAAUAAUGAGCCUACGAGUUACUAAUCACUGGCGAGGUUAAGUGCUGGGAAGCACGGAGCCGAAGCGAAAGCGAGUCUGAACAGGGCGGCCAGUCAGUGGUUGUAGACGCGAAACCUUGCGAUCUACCCUUGAGCAGGAUGAAGGUUGGGUAACACCAACUGGAGGUCCGAACGAAUAAGCGUUGAAAAGCUUCUCGAUGACUUGAGGGUAGGGGUGAAAGGCUAAUCAAGCUGGGAAAUAGCUCGUACUCCCCGAAAUGCCUUUAGGGGCAGCGUUGUAAUAAAGAGUCUACUGGAGGUAGAGCUACUGAUUGGAUGCGGGGGCUUCACCGCCUACCAAAUCCUGACAAACUCCGAAUGCCAGUAGUAUGAUUUACAGCAGUGAGCGGCCGGGUGCUAAUGUCCGGUCACAAAAGAGGAACAACUCAGACCAGCAACUAAGGUCCCCAAGAAUAUGCUAAGUUGAUCUAACGAUGUUUUGUUGCAGAGACAGCUAGGAUGUUAGCUUGGAAGCAGCUAUUCAUUCAAAGAGUGCGUAACAGCUCACUAGUCGAGCGACAGAGCGUGGAUAAUAAACGGGCAUCAAGCAUAUCACCGAAGUUCUGGACGCGAAAGCGUGGUAGGGGAGCAUUCCAUCGACGUUGAAGCCGAUCCGUGAGGAUUGGUGGAGUUUAUGGAAAAGCAAAUGUAGGCAUAAGUAACGAUAAUGCGGGAGAGUAACCCGCACACCGCAAGACCAAGGUUUCCUGAUCAACGCUAAUCGGAUCAGGGUUAGUCGGGUCCUAAGGGUAAGCCGAACGGUGAUCUCGAUGGACAAUCGGUUAAUAUUCCGAUACUAACAUACACCUCGAUGGAGAGACGAAGGAACGUAAGUGUCGCCACCUGACGGAAUAGGUGGUUAAAGGGCGUAGGUAAAGGAGCAGAUUAAGAGUUAGCUACUGCUGAGACCCGACAGUACGGAGCGGCUACGGCCAAUCCGAUAGUGCACCCAAGUAGACUUCCGAGAAAAUCUUCUAAGUUACAGUGUAUGUUACCCGUACCGUAAACCGACACAGGUGGUCGAGGAGAGUAUCCUAAGGUGCUCGAGUGAAUCACGGUUAAGGAACUAGGCAAAUUAACCCCGUAACUUCGGGAAAAGGGGUCCCUAUGAAAGUAGGGCGCAGCGAAAAGGUCCAGGCGACUGUUUAUCAAAAACACAGGGCUCUGCAAAUUCGAAAGAAGACGUAUAGGGCCUGACACCUGCCCGGUGCUGGAAGGUUAAGAGGGGAUGUCAUCGCAAGAGAAGCAUUGAAUCGAAGCCCCAGUAAACGGCGGCCGUAACUAUAACGGUCCUAAGGUAGCGAAAUUCCUUGUCGGGU
rnacentral:rRNA from 1 species